UACAGAGGUCUCAAGCGUUGUUCGGAUUCAUUGGGCGUUAAAGGGGUGCGAGUAGGCGGGCGCGGUAAGUCGGAUGUGAAAUCUCGGAGCUUAACUCCGAAACUGCAUUCGAUACUGCCGUGCUUGAGGACUGGAGGAGGAGACUGGAAUUUACGGUGUAGCUGGUGAAAUGCGUAGGAUAAUCGUAAGGAAGACCAGUGG
rnacentral:rRNA from 1 species